CUCUGGAGACGAACCACCUCGUCCGCCGCCUGACGGAAUCUCCCUUUGUACUCUUCUACCUGCCGGCGCCAGCUGGCCCGCUGCACAUCGUGGCUCACCUCAGCAUCUUGAAGCUGCUUCUAGAGGUCAGAAACCUUUUGUGACCAUAUCUGCUCAUCCCGCGCUGUGAGCCGGGAUGAGUUCCCUUCCAGCUGGCCGAUCCUCCUCUUCGCAGCUGACAGCUCCACCUUAAGGGCGCUGAUCCUAGCUUCUUGAGCCCAAGUUCGGUCGCUGGCGCUCUUCGUGCAUUCCUCAAGCUCCUUUGUGAAGUUCGCCUUCCUCCGGCUGUAGUCCAUGAUUGCCUUCACUUGGAGACUCCUGAAGUGGGCGACCUCAGCGGCGGCCUCGGAAUAGCAUUUUUUCGACUUGCGGAGCUCGUCCUCCGACUUUUUCAACUUCUUCGUCAGGUGGAGGACCUCCUUUUUCAGCCAUUGGAUAGUUGACUUCAGCGAGACCCCCAGGG
rnacentral:lncRNA from 1 species